rnacentral:rRNA from 1 species
AUUGAACGCUGGCGGCAUGCCUUACACAUGCAAGUCGAACGGCAGCGGGGACUUCGGUCCGCCGGCGAGUGGCGAACGGGUGAGUAAUGUAUCGGAACGUACCUUUCAGUGGGGGAUAACGUAGCGAAAGUUACGCUAAUACCGCAUAUUCUCUGAGGAGGAAAGCAGGGGACCUUCGGGCCUUGCGCUGAUGGAGCGGCCGAUAUCAGAUUAGCUAGUUGGUGGGGUAAAGGCUCACCAAGGCUACGAUCUGUAGCGGGUCUGAGAGGAUGAGACGCCACACGGGGACUGAGACACGGCCCAGACUCCUACGGGAGGCAGCAGUGGGGAAGUUUGGACAAUGGGCGAAAGCCUGAUCCAGCCAUGCCGAGUGAGUGAAGAAGGCCUUCGGGUUGUAAAGCUCUUUCGGACGGGAAGAAAUCAUGAGGGCUAAUAUCCCUUGUGGAUGACGGUACCGUAAUAAGAAGCACCGGCUAACUACGUGCCAGCCGCCGCCGUAA